rnacentral:tRNA from 4 species
UGUUUCGUAGUUCAAUGGUAGAACCCACGACUGAUAAUCGUGAGAUACAAGUUCGAUUCUUGUCGAAACAACCA